rnacentral:rRNA from 1 species
GAUGAACGCUAGCGGCAGGCCUAAUACAUGCAAGUCGAACGGUAAGGCCCUUUCGGGGUACGACGAGUGGCGGACGGGUGCGUAACGCGUAUGCAACAUGCCUUCCAGCGGGGGAGUAUACCAGGGAAACGUUAGGCGCAAUACCCCACUAGAAUUACGGGACCGCAUGGUCUUGUGAUUAAAACUACCGGUGCUGGGAGAUUGGCAUGCGUGACAUUAGCUAGUUGGCGGGGUAACGGGCCCACCAAGGCGACGAUGUCUAGCUGGUCUGAGAGGAUGAUCAGCCACACUGGGACUGAGACACGGCCCAGACUCCUACGGGAGGCAGCAGUAGGGAAUAUUGGACAAU